rnacentral:rRNA from 1 species
AUUGAACGCUGGCGGCAGGCCUAACACAUGCAAGUCGAGCGGAUGAAGGGAGCUUGCUCCUGGAUUCAGCGGUGGACGGGUGAGUAAUGCCUAGGAAUCUGCCUGGUAGUGGGGGAUAACGUCCGGAAACGGGCGCUAAUACCGCAUACGUCCUGAGGGAGAAAGUGGGGGAUCUUCGGACCUCACGCUAUCAGAUGAGCCUAGGUCGGAUUAGCUAGUUGGUGGGGUAAAGGCCUACCAAGGCGACGAUCCGUAACUGGUCUGAGAGGAUGAUCAGUCACACUGGAACUGAGACACGGUCCAGACUCCUACGGGAGGCAGCAGUGGGGAAUAUUGGACAAUGGGCGAAAGCCUGAUCCAGCCAUGCCGCGUGUGUGAAGAAGGUCUUCGGAUUGUAAAGCACUUUAAGUUGGGAGGAAGGACAGUAAGUUAAUACCUUGCUGUUUUGACGUUACCAACAGAUUAAGCACCGGCUAACUUCGUG